CAGCCCACAGAGUCCACUCUGCUGGAAGGGGAUUCACCGGGAUCUCAUCUCGGGAUGAAAAGACUGCAGACCUAAGCAGCCUUUUUGACGUCCUUAAAAGCUAAUUGUGAAACCUGGGUCUCCCAGACGUGCGCCCCGAGGACCCUUUAAACUUUUGCUUCGUCUCAAACUGAUUUAAUAACGCAGCGUUUGUGCAACACAAACAUCCUUGAACGUACGCCUUAAUAAGUCAAUGGGGAUAUAUGCUUUGGGUUAUUGUGAUUUUCAUUACUCCUCAACUCACUGACGGGACUCCACCACGUGUUGCGAAUGAGGCAAUGUGACCGACGUACCCACUCAUUUUCUCCGUACUCUCAUCUCGCCUGCUCGCUCCAUGCUGGGCCGUAGCCGUUUAUCCAGGAGAGCAGGGGUGAAAACACUAACCUUUUCCGCACAGCUAUAACUCCACACCAUGACACCGAACCAACAUUGCUUCAGGGUCCCUCAGUGCUCUCUGUGAAAAUGUCAGACGCUCUUUUCAUCUGGGAGAAAUCCUAUCUGAUUUACUCUACUCCCUUUUCCUCGGCCAAGGCGUCUGUUUGUACAGGACCAUGUUUCAUUUGAAUAUCAAAGUCAGUAAGGAGGUGGCCAGACACUUUAAGUGACUUUUUUUUUUUUUUUCAUGGGGGGUUCUCUCCAGGAAUGCGACUGCUUAGUGUCCUGGACUGAUCAGGAAUCUGAUCAGUCCUACAAAGCAGUCUUUGUGGUACCAAGGGGACCAUGAUCUCUAUUUACCCAUUCGCUGCUCCAUGGAUGAAAUGAACAUAGAUGUCCAUUUGCAUCCCAGGGUGCAACUUUUUAAGCUUCACAGCCUAUAUGGUACUUAAAAAAAAAAAAAUGCUCACAUUUUUGCAUCUGAAACCAAUGAACCCUGAUGGUGAACAUGUUUCCAACAUACUUCUCCUCACCAUGCAGCACACAGCAACAGGCAGAUCAGGAUCAUGCGAUGCAUCUGCCAGAACAGUAUCUGGUUUAAAAUCUGCUCAACACAGUUUUUUUUCUUUUUUUUUCUUUUUUUUUAAGCAAAUCAAAGCUUUGUUGUCCUGAUGGAAUGUGUUUUUCACAAAACUUCAACAAACAAAGAAGUUAAAUAAAUUUGGCUUCAUAUAA